UACGGGAGGCAGCAGUGGGGAAUAUUGCACAAUGGGCGAAAGCCUGAUGCAGCUAUGCCGCGUGUAUGAAGAAGGCCUUAGGGUUGUAAAGUACUUUCAUCGGGGAGGAAAAAACAAAACUAAUAAUUUUAUUUCUUGACGUUACCCGAAAAAGAAGCACCGGCUAACUCCGUGCCAGCAGCCGCGGUAAUACGGAGGGUGCUAGCGUUAAUCAGAAUUACUGGGCGUAAAGAGCACGUAGGUGGUUUUUUUAAAGUCAGAUGUGAAAUCCCUGGGCUUAACCUAGGAACUGCAUUUUGAAACUGAAAUACUAGAGUAUCGUAGAGGGAGGUAGAAUUCUAGGUGUAGCGGUGAAAUGCGUAGAUAUCUGGAGGAAUACCUGUGGCGAAAGCGGCCUCCUAAACGAAUACUGACACUGAGGUGCGAAAAGCGUGGGGAGCAAAACAGGGAUUAGAAACC
rnacentral:rRNA from 1 species